UGUUCCACGUGUGCAUGUACGUACGUACUGUACGUACGUACGCGCGUUCGUCUCUUGUCUCUGUACCGACGACGAUGACCGCGAGUCGUGCAGCUUUCGUUUCGACAGCGUAGUCCGUGAACUGGUGUCCCGUAGCGACUUCGUCGUGACUGCCUCGGAGAACGUCUAGUACUGCCUUUGCUUGAUUGACGGACGUCGAGGGCGAAACAGAGCGAAGGUGCUGCAAUGCGCUGCCUUGCCACCACGAGAGCAACACACUAGGAUGACUAAAGGAUGUAACACUUCUGGACGGGAAUUACAUGUUCAAGAAUUGUUUUGAAAUGUACAAGGAAGAUAUUGGCAUUCUCCUUGCGCCAUCAGCUGUUCAACAUCUGCGAGCUGCAAAGGCUCUCCUGUAUGACAAGGAAGCAGUAGACGCGGCAUUCGCAAUGCUCAUUUUAUGUGCUUCCAAGGGAUGCGGCCAAAGGACGACCUGCAGAUGUGCGAGUCACGUUUAUGGGAGCUGCAAAAAAGAAUUAAAGUGUAUCCCCAGUG